rnacentral:rRNA from 1 species
GAUGAACGCUGGCGGCGUGCCUAAUACAUGCAAGUCGAGCGAACAGACGAGGAGCUUGCUCCUCUGACGUUAGCGGCGGACGGGUGAGUAACACGUGGAUAACCUACCUAUAAGACUGGGAUAACUUCGGGAAACCGGAGCUAAUACCGGAUAAUAUAUUGAACCGCAUGGUUCAAUAGUGAAAGACGGUUUUGCUGUCACUUAUAGAUGGAUCCGCGCCGCAUUAGCUAGUUGGUAAGGUAACGGCUUACCAAGGCAACGAUGCGUAGCCGACCUGAGAGGGAGAUCGGCAACACGCGAACAGCGAGACGGUACAGAGCCCUACGGGAGGCAGCAGUAGGGAAUCUUCCGCAAUGGGCGAAAGGAUGAGAGAGCAAUGACGCGUGAAUGAUAAAGUACUAAGGAGCAAAAACAUCUGUUAUUAGGGAAUAACAAUUGUGUAAGUAAAUAUACAAGUCUUGACGGUACCUAAUCAGAAAGCCACGGGUAACUACGUG